rnacentral:rRNA from 1 species
GACGAACGCUGGCGGCGUGCUUAACACAUGCAAGUCGAACGAUGAAGCUGGAGCUUGCUCUGGUGAAUUAGUGGCGAACGGGUGGGUAACACGUGAGUAACCUGCCCUUGACUCUGGGAUAACUGCGGGAAACUGUAGCUAAUACCGGAUACGACCCUCGGAGGCAUCUCCUGGGGGUGGAAAGAAUUUCGGUCAAGGAUGGACUCGCGGCCUAUCAGCUAGUUGGUGAGGUAAAGGCUCACCAAGGCGACGACGGGUAGCCGGACUGAGAGGUUGACCGGCCACACUGGGACUGAGAAACGGCCCAGACUCCUACGGGAGGCAGCAGUGGGGAAUAUUGCAAAAUGGGCGCAAGCCUGAUGCAGCAACGCCGCGUGAGGGAUGACGGCCUUCGGGUUGUAAACCUCUUUUAGUAGGGAAGAAGCGAAAGUGACGGUACCUGCAGAAAAAGCACCGGCUAACUACGUGCCAGCCGCCGCCGUAA